rnacentral:rRNA from 1 species
GAUGAACGCUAGCUACAGGCCUAACACAUGCAAGUCGAGGGGUAACGCCAUUGAGUGCUUGCACCCUUCGGAUGCCUAACGCCUCUACGGUGUGUCUUGUGUAUCCGACCUUCCCCUUAGUGUGGGAUAUUAUUACGCUAUGCUAUAUAAUCACGCAUUCUCUUACUUAUCAGCACUACAUUUGUAGUAGAGAUUUAUCCGUUCUGUUAGCGGAUUCGUCUGAUUAGCUCGUUGGCGGGGUAACGGCCCACCAAGGCCACGAUCAGUAGGGGUUCUGAGAGGAAGGUCCCCCACAUUGGAACUGAGACACGGUCCAAACUCCUACGGGAGGCAGCAGUGAGGAAUAUUGGUCAAUGGACGGAAGUCUGAACCAGCCAAGUAGCGUGCAGGAUGACGGCCCUAUGGGUUGUAAACUGCUUUUGUAUGGGGAUAAAGUUAGGGACGUGUCCCUAUUUGCAGGUACCAUACGAAUAAGGACCGGCUAAUUCCGUG